rnacentral:rRNA from 1 species
GGUUAAGCGACUAAGCGUACACGGUGGAUGCCCUGGCAGUCAGAGGCGAUGAAGGACGUGCUAAUCUGCGAUAAGCGUCGGUAAGGUGAUAUGAACCGUUAUAACCGGCGAUUUCCGAAUGGGGAAACCCAGUGUGUUUCGACACACUAUCAUUAACUGAAUCCAUAGGUUAAUGAGGCGAACCGGGGGAACUGAAACAUCUAAGUACCCCGAGGAAAAGAAAUCAACCGAGAUUCCCCCAGUAGCGGCGAGCGAACGGGGAGCAGCCCAGAGCCUGAAUCAGUGUGUGUGUUAGUGGAAGCGUCUGGAAAGGCGCGCGAUACAGGGUGACAGCCCCGUACACAAAAAUGCACAUGCUGUGAGCUCGAUGAGUAGGGCGGGACACGUGGUAUCCUGUCUGAAUAUGGGGGGACCAUCCUCCAAGGCUAAAUACUCCUGACUGACCGAUAGUGAACCAGUACCGUGAGGGAAAGGCGAAAAGAACCCCGGCGAGGGGAGUGAAAAAGAACCUGAAACCGUGUACGUACAAGCAGUGGGAGCACGCUUAGGCGUGUGACUGCGUACCUUUUGUAUAAUGGGUCAGCGACUUAUAUUCUGUAGCAAGGUUAACCGAAUAGGGGAGCCGAAGGGAAACCGAGUCUUAACUGGGCGUUAAGUUGCAGGGUAUAGACCCGAAACCCGGUGAUCUAGCCAUGGGCAGGUUGAAGGUUGGGUAACACUAACUGGAGGACCGAACCGACUAAUGUUGAAAAAUUAGCGGAUGACUUGUGGCUGGGGGUGAAAGGCCAAUCAAACCGGGAGAUAGCUGGUUCUCCCCGAAAGCUAUUUAGGUAGCGCCUCGUGAAUUCAUCUCCGGGGGUAGAGCACUGUUUCGGCAAGGGGGUCAUCCCGACUUACCAACCCGAUGCAAACUGCGAAUACCGGAGAAUGUUAUCACGGGAGACACACGGCGGGUGCUAACGUCCGUCGUGAAGAGGGAAACAACCCAGACCGCCAGCUAAGGUCCCAAAGUCAUGGUUAAGUGGGAAACGAUGUGGGAAGGCCCAGACAGCCAGGAUGUUGGCUUAGAAGCAGCCAUCAUUUAAAGAAAGCGUAAUAGCUCACUGGUCGAGUCGGCCUGCGCGGAAGAUGUAACGGGGCUAAACCAUGCACCGAAGCUGCGGCAGCGACACUGUGUGUUGUUGGGUAGGGGAGCGUUCUGUAAGCCUGUGAAGGUGUACUGUGAGGUAUGCUGGAGGUAUCAGAAGUGCGAAUGCUGACAUAAGUAACGAUAAAGCGGGUGAAAAGCCCGCUCGCCGGAAGACCAAGGGUUCCUGUCCAACGUUAAUCGGGGCAGGGUGAGUCGACCCCUAAGGCGAGGCCGAAAGGCGUAGUCGAUGGGAAACAGGUUAAUAUUCCUGUACUUGGUGUUACUGCGAAGGGGGGACGGAGAAGGCUAUGUUGGCCGGGCGACGGUUGUCCCGGUUUAAGCGUGUAGGCUGGUUUUCCAGGCAAAUCCGGAAAAUCAAGGCUGAGGCGUGAUGACGAGGCACUACGGUGCUGAAGCAACAAAUGCCCUGCUUCCAGGAAAAGCCUCUAAGCAUCAGGUAACAUCAAAUCGUACCCCAAACCGACACAGGUGGUCAGGUAGAGAAUACCAAGGCGCUUGAGAGAACUCGGGUGAAGGAACUAGGCAAAAUGGUGCCGUAACUUCGGGAGAAGGCACGCUGAUAUGUAGGUGAAGCGACUUGCUCGUGGAGCUGAAAUCAGUCGAAGAUACCAGCUGGCUGCAACUGUUUAUUAAAAACACAGCACUGUGCAAACACGAAAGUGGACGUAUACGGUGUGACGCCUGCCCGGUGCCGGAAGGUUAAUUGAUGGGGUUAGCGCAAGCGAAGCUCUUGAUCGAAGCCCCGGUAAACGGCGGCCGUAACUAUAACGGUCCUAAGGUAGCGAAAUUCCUUGUCGGGUAAGUUCCGACCUGCACGAAUGGCGUAAUGAUGGCCAGGCUGUCUCCACCCGAGACUCAGUGAAAUUGAACUCGCUGUGAAGAUGCAGUGUACCCGCGGCAAGACGGAAAGACCCCGUGAACCUUUACUAUAGCUUGACACUGAACAUUGAGCCUUGAUGUGUAGGAUAGGUGGGAGGCUUUGAAGUGUGGACGCCAGUCUGCAUGGAGCCGACCUUGAAAUACCACCCUUUAAUGUUUGAUGUUCUAACGUGGACCCGUGAUCCGGGUUGCGGACAGUGUCUGGUGGGUAGUUUGACUGGGGCGGUCUCCUCCUAAAGAGUAACGGAGGAGCACGAAGGUUGGCUAAUCCUGGUCGGACAUCAGGAGGUUAGUGCAAUGGCAUAAGCCAGCUUGACUGCGAGCGUGACGGCGCGAGCAGGUGCGAAAGCAGGUCAUAGUGAUCCGGUGGUUCUGAAUGGAAGGGCCAUCGCUCAACGGAUAAAAGGUACUCCGGGGAUAACAGGCUGAUACCGCCCAAGAGUUCAUAUCGACGGCGGUGUUUGGCACCUCGAUGUCGGCUCAUCACAUCCUGGGGCUGAAGUAGGUCCCAAGGGUAUGGCUGUUCGCCAUUUAAAGUGGUACGCGAGCUGGGUUUAGAACGUCGUGAGACAGUUCGGUCCCUAUCUGCCGUGGGCGCUGGAGAACUGAGGGGGGCUGCUCCUAGUACGAGAGGACCGGAGUGGACGCAUCACUGGUGUUCGGGUUGUCAUGCCAAUGGCACUGCCCGGUAGCUAAAUGCGGAAGAGAUAAGUGCUGAAAGCAUCUAAGCACGAAACUUGCCCCGAGAUGAGUUCUCCCUGACCCUUUAAGGGUCCUGAAGGAACGUUGAAGACGACGACGUUGAUAGGCCGGGUGUGUAAGCGCAGCGAUGCGUUGAGCUAACCGGUACUAAUGAACCGUGAGGCUUAACCUU